UUACGGUCAUACCACAUUGAGACACCUGUUCCCGUACAAACACCAAAGUGAAGCAACGUCGAGCCUGGUUAGUACCUAGAUGGGUGACUGUUAUGGAAUGUUAGGUGCUGUAAG